GACGCGAUCGGGUGGGGGAGGCGGUCGUGCUGGGGGCGGCGUGACACGGCUCGGGCCCGCCAGUGCCCCAACGGGGCCCUAGUGUUAUUAUUAUUAUUAUUAUUUUUCCUCCGCUUUAAACUGGAAAAUGGCCCACUUCCCACUGGCGAAAACUCAGGAAAUUUGGCAGGACGACCGGGCCUGGUGAAAAAUUCGAUAUUCUGAAGUCGCCCAAACAAUAAAAUACAAAAUGGCUCCAUAGCGCCCCCUAAGGUGAAAAUUCACACUAUUGACUGUCACGCCUGUAGGCUUUGUCAUAUUGACACAAAAAUUGACACACACAUGUAUCUCAAUAAGAUCUACAAAAAAGUCAGUGCGGGCGUAUCUGUCAAAUGUACGGUUAAAGGGUUAUUUCGCAUUUUUUGCAGAUCCGCACACAUUGGAAUUUCGCUAACUCCUCCGAAGGCUUUCGGUCCACCGGCACCACAUUUGCUCAGGCCAAUCUACACUCCAUGGCCAUUCAAAGUUGUACAAAUCAUGAUGCUGCACCCCAUGGUUUAGGUUCUAGGGGACGCCAAAAAUAACCCUAAAAUCCACAUUCUUAAAAGUUUUAUAACUUUUUAUUUUUGCCCUCACUGGCCUCCAAGUUUUCUAGGAUGAUGCAAUGUCCAGCCAUCAACACAUUUGUGAAGGAAUUUUUACUCCCCAAAAGAGCGCCCCCCCAUGGCAGGACAAAAAAGUCAAUUUUUUCUUGUCCCCUAAGGUGAAAAUACACAUUGUUGAAUGUCACGCCUGUACGCUUUGUCAUAUUGACACAAAAUUUGACAAUCACGUGUAUCUCAAUAAGAUCUACGAAAAAGUCAAUGCGCGCGUAUCUGUAAAAUGUACGGUUAAAGGGCUAUUUCGCAUUUUUUGCCGAUUCGCACACAUUGGAAUGUGGCUAACUCCUCCUAAGGCUUUCGUCCCACUGACACCAAAUUUGCUCAGGCCAAUCUACACCCCAUGGCCAUUCAAAGUUGUAAAAAUCAUGACGCUGCACCCCAUGGUCUACGUUCUAGGGGGCGCCAAAGAGGACCCAAAUAUCCACAUUUUUAAAAGUCUUAUAACUUUUUAUUUUUGUCCUCACUGGCCUCCAAGUUUUCUAGGAUGAUGCAAUGUCCAGCCAUCAACACAUUUGUGAAGGAAUUUUUUCUCCCCAAAAGAGCGCCCCCCCAUGGCAGGAGAAAAAGUCAAGUUUUUCCUGCCCAUCGCUCAAUGGCUCAAACGCAUCGCUCUCUCGGCAAAACCGAAAGGAGGAGCAACUUGCCAUUUGGAUAUAUACUAGCUGUGUUUGUGCCCUCACUCAUGGUCCAGACUUUUUUCAAAAAGGACAUGGAGUUUGUCUGCAGCGAGCGUUUUGGUAGAAACUGCGCCUCCCAUUCAUUAUAAUGGUAAAUGACCACAGACAAGUGCGCACACCAUCUUUGGACCUUGAGUGUGACGCGAUCGGGAGGGGUAGGCGGUCGCGCUGGGGGCGGCGUGACACGGCUCGGGCCCGCCAGUGCCCCACCGGGGCCCUAGUUAUUAUUUUUCCUCCGCUUUAAACUGGAAAAUGGCCGACUUCCCACUGGCGAAAACUCAUGAAAUUUGGCAGGACGACCGGGCCUGGUGAAAAAUUUGAUAUUCCGCAGUCGCCCAAACAAGAAAAUGCAAAAUGGCUCCAUAGCGCCCCCUAAGGUGAAAAUUCACACUAUUGAAUGUCACGCCUGUACGCUUUGUCAAAAUGACACAAAAAUUGACACACACAUGUAUCUCAAUAAGAUCUACAAAAAAGUCAGUGCGGGCGUAUCUGUCAAAUGUACGGUUAAAGGGUUAUUUCGCAUUUUUUGCCGAUCCGCACACAUUGGAAUUUCGCUAACUCCUCCGAAGGCUUUCGUUCCACCGGCACCACAUUUGCUCAGGCCAAUCUACACCCCAUGGCCAUUAAAAGUUAUUCAAAUCAUGACGCUGCACCCCACGGUUUAGGUUCUAGGGGGCGCCAAAGAUAACCCUAAGAUCCACAUAUUUUAAAGUCUUAUAACUUUUUAUUUUUGUCCCCACUGGCCUCCAAGUUUUCUAGGAUGAUGCAAUGUCCAGCCAUCAACACAUUUGUGAAGGAAUUUUUACUCCCCAAAAGAGCGCCCCCCCAUGGCAGGAGAAAAAAGUCCAUUUUUUCUUGUCCCCUAAGGUGAAAAUACACAUUGUUGAGUGUAACACCUGUACGCUUUGGCAAAAUGACACCAAAAUUGACACACACAUGUAUCUCAAUAAGAUCUACAAAAAAGUCAAUGCGCGCGUAUCUGUCAAAUGUACGGUUAAAGGGUUAUUCCGCAUUUUUUGCCGAUCCGCACACAUUGGAAUUUCGUUAACUCCUCCGAAGGCUUUCGUUCCACCGGCACCACAUUUGCUCAGGCCAAUCUACACCCCAUGGCCAUUAAAAGUUAUUCAAAUCAUGACGCUGCACCCCACGGUUUAGGUUCUAGGGGGCGCCAAAGAUAACCGUAAAAUCCACAUAUUUAAAAGUCUUAUAACUUUUUAUUUUUGUCCCCACUGGCCUCCAAGUUUUCUAGGAUGAUGCAAUGUCCAGCCAUCAACACAUUUGUGAAGGAAUUUUUACUCGCCAAAAGAGUGCCCCCCCAUGGCAGGAGAAAAAAGUCAAUUUUUUCUUGUCCACUAAGGUGAAAAUACACAUUGUUGAGUGCUACGCCUGUAUGUUUUGUCGUAUUGACACAAAAAUUGACAAUCAUGUGUAUCUCAAUUAGAUCUACGAAAAAGUCAAAGAGCGCGUAUUUGUAUAAUGUACGGUUAAAGGGCUAUUUUGCAUUUUUUGCCGAUUCGCACACAUUGGAAUGUGGCUAUCUCCUCCUAAGGCUUUCGUCCCACCGAUACCAAAUUUGCUCAGGGCAAUCUACACCCCAUGCCCAUUCAAAGUUGUAAAAAUCAUGGCGCUGCACCCCACGGUUUACGUUCUAGGGGGCGCCAAAGAUGACCCAAAAAUCCACAUUCUUAAAAGUCAUUUUGGCCACUGCAGGAGUACAGAGUACUGCAGUUCUAGGGGGCGCCAAAGAUGACCCAAAAAUCCACAUUCUUAAAAGUCUUUUUGGCCACUGCAGGAGUACAGAGUACUGCAGGAUACACACACAUAUACACACACGCCAACAUACACACACACACACACACACACACACACACACACACACACACACACACUCAGAGUCUGUUUUUUAGCACCUGCAAAAACAUGCUGUUUACAUAUUUGACAAGAAUGCAGAGGCUUCCUUUUGCCCCUGAAAAAAAUCAAAUUUCAAACACAACUUGACUGUUCAUUUCUCCAAAAGACAACCAUGAAGCUCCAUCCAAACCUGAAGCAGAUAGUUGGUGCAUGUGUACAGUAACCUGAGGGGAGUGAGGUGACUAUUUCUGAGGAGAACAUGAGCAGUGAAGAUUCACCUUGGAGCUAGAACAGGGACGUGCACAUGAUUAUACAGGGGCAGGGGCUCAAGUUUUUUCCAGUCAUUUAUACAAUAUGGAAAUUAAUGUGAAAUUAAACCACAAAUAUGUGUGAUGAACUGUUUUUAAAACUUAAACUUCAAAUAAAAAUUGUAAACUUCAAAACAUAUGCAAAUUUUUAACAAAGAACAUAGUAAUUUACCUCUAUUUACAUCAAAAUGCAGGCAAUGGCCCAGGCGUUCUUUGUAAAAUUAUUUACAAAACACUGUAUAGUCUCACAAAUGUCACUUUUUAUUUAUGCCACUACAAAAAAACAUGAUGUAAAUGAUGCAUGAUGUAAAACAUGAUGUAAAAAACUUGUGUAGAUCCUCCUCUAUGUCAGUCCAUGUGUAAUUUUUCCAUAAUUCUUUGUUUUUUGCAGCAUUUUUGUUAGUGUAACUGCAGAUUGUGCUGACAGUGUCUAUGGCACACAAAAAAAAAAAAAUUAAAAUGCCUCAACAUGAACCCCUGGUGGUCUCUGAGGGUGAAACCUGCUAACUGCUGCAGCUCUGUCAGCUUCAGUCUCCCAUGCAGAGCUCUGAGCGCAUGUGUGGCUCUGCACCCUUAGCAGCGUUGCUAACUCCUCAGUAAGGAAAGCCUGCUUCAUGUCAGAGUCUCUAAACUCCAGAAGAAGUCGAUAAGUGAAAGCAACACGCACUGGCAGGAAGAACAGCAAACGCCGAUGAAGGAAAAGGGUCUUUGCAGUGAUGGGCGUUACCAGAGAGGGCGAUGGCCAGAGGACACAAAUGGGACGGGAAGGCAGCACGUUGGGGGGGGGGGAGGGACGCGACACGGCUCGGGCCCGCCAGUGCCCCAACGGGGUCCUAGUUAUUAUUUUUCCUCCGCUUUAAACUGGAAAAUGGCCGACUUCCCACUGGCGAAAACUCAUGAAAUUUGGCAGGACGACCGGGCCUGGUGAAAAAUUCGAUAUUCUGAAGUCGCCCAAACAAUAAAAUGCAAAAUGGCUCCAUAGCGCCCCCUAAGGCGAAAAUUCACACUAUUGACUGUCACGCCUGUACGCUUUGUCAUAUUGACACAAAAAUUGACACACACGUGUAUCUCAAUACGUUCUACGAAAAAGUCAGCGCGGGCGCAUCUGUGAAAUGUACAGUUAGAGGGUUAUUUCGCAUUUUUUGCCGAUCUGCACACAUUGGAAUUUCGCUAACUCCUCCGAAGGCAUUCGUUCCACCGGCACCACAUUUGCUCAGGCCAAUCUACACCCCAUGGCCAUUAAAAGUUGUACAAAUCAUGACGCUGCACCCCACAGUUUACGUUCUAGGGGGCGCCAAAGAUAACCCAAAAAUCCACAGUCUUAAAAGUCUUAUAACUUUUUAUUUUUGUCCUCACUGGCCUCCAAGUUCUCUAGGAUGAUGCAAUGUCCAGCCAUCAACACAUUUGUGAAGGAAUUUUUACUCCCCAAAAGAGCGCCCCCACAUGGCAGGAGAAAAAAGUCCAUUUUUUCUUGUCCCCUAAGGUGAAAAUACACAUUGUUGAGUGUCACGCCUAUACGCUUUGUCAUAUUGACCCAAAAUUUGACAAUCACGUGUAUCUCAAUAAGAUCUACGAAAAAGUCAAUGGGCACGUAUCUGUAAAAUGUAUGGUUAAAGGGCUAUUUCGCAUUUUUUGCAGAUUCGCACACAUUGGAAUGUGGCUAACUCCUCCUAAGGCUUUCUUCCCACCGACACCAAAUUUGCUCAAGCCGAUCUACAUCCCAUGGCCAUUCAAAGUUGUAAAAAUCAUGCCGCUGCACCCCAUGGUUUACGUUCUAGGGGGCGCCAAAGAUGACCCAAAUAUCCACAUUCUUAAAAGUCGUUUUGGCCACUGCAGGAGUACAGAGUACUGCAGGAUACACACACACAGACACACACAAACACAGACACACACACACACACACACACACACACACACACACACACACACACACACACACACACACACAGAGUCUGUUUUUUAGCACCUGCAAAAACAUGCUAUUUACAUAUUUGACAACAAUGCAGAGGCUCCUUUUGCCCCUGAAAAAAAUCAAAUUUCAAACACAACUUGACUGGUCAUUUCUCCAAAAGACAACCAUGAAGCUCCAUCCAAACCUGAAGCAGGCAGUUGGUGCAUGUGUACAGUUACCUGAGGGGAGUGAGGUGAGUGCUUCUGAGGAGAACAUGAGCAGUGAAGAUUCACCUUGGAGCGAGAACAGGGACGUGCACAUGAUUAUACAGGGGCAGGGGCUCAAGUUUUUUCCAGUCGUUUAUACAAUAUGGAAAUUAAUGUGAAAUUAAAAAACAAAGUAUUAAUAGAAAGGUAAUGACUGUCCUGUGUAGGUGACAGUGAUAUCCAAUAGGCUAGGCACUCACGAGGCUGGCUGUGGCAAGUGUAAGUGAAAGCAACACGCACUGGCAGGAAGAACAGCAAACGCCGAUGAAGGAAAAGGGUCUUUGCAGUGAUGGGCGUUACCAGAGAGGACGAUGGCCAGAGGACGCGAAUGGGACGGGGAGGCAGCGCAUUGGUGGGGGGGGGGGGGGCGCGACACAGCUCGGGCCCGCCAGUGCCCCAACGGGGCCCUAGUUUCUUUUUAGGGCCCGAGCGUAGCUGCUAAGCAGCUGCGAGAGCCCUCUUGUUCCUGAUGGAUUCUUCUUUCGUUAUUUUUCCUCCGCUUUAAACUGGAAAAUGGCCCACUUCCCACUGGCGAAAACUCAUGAAAUUUGGCAGGACGACCGGGCCUGGUGAAAAAUUUGAUAUUCUGAAGUCGUCCAAACAAAAAAAUGAAAAAUGGCUCCAUAGCGCCCCCUAUGGUGAAAACUCACCUGAUGCCUGUACGCUUUGUCAAAAUGACACAAAAUUUGACACACAUGUGUAUCUCAAUAAGAUCUACGAAAAAGUCAGUGCGGGCGUAUCUGCCAAAUGUACGGUUAAAGGGCUAUUUCGCUUUUUUUGCCGAUCCGCACACAUUGGAAUUUCGCUAACUCCUCCGAAGGCUUUCGUUCCACCGGCACCAAAUUUGCUCAGGCCAAUCUACACCCCAUGGCCAUUAAAAGUUGUAAAAAUCAUGAUGCUGCACCCCACGGUUUACUUUCUAGGGGGCGCCAAAGAUAACACAAAAUCCACAUUCUUAAAAGUCAUUUUGGCCACUGCAGGAGUACAGAGUACUGCAGUUCUAGGGGGCGCCAAAGAUGACCCAAAAAUCCACAUUCUUAAAAGUCUUUUUGGCCACUGCAGGAGUACAGAGUACUGCCGGACACACACACAUAUACACACACGCCAACACACACACACACACACACACACACACACAGACAGACACACUCAGAGUCUGUUUUUUAGCACCUGCAAAAACAUGCUGUUUACAUAUUUGACAAGAAUGCAGAGGCUUCCUUUUGCCCCUGAAAAAAAUCAAAUUUCAAACACAACUUGACUGUUCAUUUCUCCAAAAGACAACCAUGAAGCUCCAUCCAAACCUGAAGCAGAUAGUUGGUGCAUGUGUACAGUAACCUGAGGAGAGUGAGGUGACUACUUCUGAGGAGAACAUGAGCAGUGAAGAUUCACCUUGGAGCUAGAACAGGGACGUGCACAUGAUUAUACAGGGGCAGGGGCUCAAGUUUUUUCCAGUCAUUUAUACAAUAUGGAAAUUAAUGUGAAAUUAAACCACAAAUAUGUGUGAUGAACUGUUUUUAAAACUUAAACUUCAAAUAAAAAUUGUAAACUUCAAAACAUAUGCAAAUUUUUAACAAAGAACAUAGUAAUUUACCUCUAUUUACAUCAAAAUGCAGGCAAUGGCCCAGGCGUUCUUUGUAAAAUUAUUUACAAAACACUGUAUAGUCUCACAAAUGUCACUUUUUAUUUAUGCCACUACAAAAAAACAUGAUGUAAAUGAUGCAUGAUGUAAAAAACUUGUGUAGAUCCUCCUCUAUGUCAGUCCAUGUGUAAUUUUUCCAUAAUUCUUUGUUUUUUGCAGCAUUUUUGUUAGUGUAACUGCAGAUUGUGCUGACAGUGUCUAUGGCAAAAAAAAAAAAAAACUGAAAAUGCCUCAACAUGAACUCCUGGUGGUCUCUGAGGGUGAAACCUGCUAACUGCUGCAGCUCUCUCAGCUCUAGUCUCCCAUGCAGAGCUCGGAGCGCAUGUGUGGCUCUGCACCCUUAGCAGCGUUGCUAACUCCUCAGUAAGGAAAGCCUGCUUCAUGUCAGAGUCUCUAAACUCCAGAGGAAGUCGAUAAAAUUCCCUUUCUUUCUAAAAAAAGUCGUUAGGGGGUCUGAAAAGUCAUUGAAUCUAACAACAAAGUCGCUAGGUUUGCAACUACGUUUCCCAGACUGCAUCCCUGCUGAGAGUUCCUCCCUCCCUUCUCAUAUUGCAGGAAGAACGUAAGCGCCCGCCCCUUGUCAAUCAGUCACCAUAUAAUUUUGGAUUGGUUGUUGUGGUGAAGUUUUCCACCAAUAGGAGAGAUGUUGUGGUGUGUUUUUUUUUCUUUUGGCAUGCCUUUUCCGCCUGUAAGAGCUGUCGCUAAUGUCUGCAUGCUAUGUUUUCCUGUCUCAUACAGCGUGAUCGAGCGCCGAACGUGAUCAAAAUAAGCAGAAAAAAAGUAUCGCGGACAUAAUUUAUCAUAACUCUGGUUUUAUUUGGCCUAUCAACACAAUUUAAAAACUGGUAUAUAGUUUGAGGUCCUCACUUUUGAGAUAAGUUGAAACGGAGGGUGAACGAGGCUCCGUCUUGCAGCUACAUCCGGUUAAAUAUGUCAUGUGACUUGAACGCUGGGGAGCGUCAAUCGACUGCAGAGCCAGCAGACAAAGUAGUUAUGCCACUGAGAGGCACACAUUUGUCAUAUGCUAUAAUCCUAACAUAUUUUAAUGCUUUUUCUAUUUAAACCUAAUGGAUCUAAGGUUUGACCUUCAAAAUUUAGGAAGAAUAUUUUUUUGCAGUAAUGACCCCCUUAAACAACCAGAGGUCCUUUCCUAAAGUUUAUGGAAAUUUUAGUGAAGGCCUUGGUUUCUUUCCUUGCAAAAUGUAUAGAAAUAAUAAAGCUAAAUACCAUAAAAUGGUCUUGGCGUAUUAGCAGUGAUAUAAAAUAGUGGUUUGAAUAUGAAUGAACAACAAAAAAAAACAUCAACAGAGCCUUUUUGAGUUGGGAUUCUUUCAUUAUCACACAAAAACAGACAUAGACAGACAUCUAAAGGGUAAGGGAAUGAUCAGCCCUCCUAACUCUCAGAUGAAUCUUCAAAAUUCACCGCAGAAAUAUGCUUAUUAUUCUUCUCAGAGUACUGCAAAAUAUAUACACACACACAGACACAGACACAGACACAGACACACACACACACACACACACACACACACACACACACACACACACACAGACAGACACACUCAGAGUCUGUUUUUUAGCACCUGCAAAAACAUGCUAUUUACAUAUUUGACAAGAAUGCAGAGGCUCCUUUUGCCCCUGAAAAAAAUCAAAUUUCAAACACAACUUGACUGCUCAUUUCUCCAAAAGACAACCAUGAAGCUCCAUCCAAACCUGAAGCAGGCAGUUGGUGCAUGUGUACAGUAACCUGAGGGGAGUGAGGUGACUGCUUCUGAGGAGAACAUGAGCAGUGAAGAUUCACCUUGGAGCUAGAACAGGGACGUGCACAUGAUUAUACAGGGGCAGGGGCUCAAGUUUUUUCCAGUCAUUUAUACAAUAUGGAAAUUAAUGUGAAAUUAAAAAACAAAGUAUUAAUAGAAAGGUAAUGACUGUCCUGUGUAGAUGACAGUGAUAUCCAAUAGGCUAGGCACUCACGAGGCUGGCUGUGGCAAGUGUAAGUGAAAGCAACACGCACUGGCAGGAAGAACAGCAAACGCCGAUGAAGGAAAAGGGUCUUUGCAGUGAUGGGCGUUACCAGAGAGGGCGAUGGCCAGAGGACACGAAUGGGACGGGGAGGCAGCGCGUUGGGGGGAGGCAGCGCAUUGGGGGGGGGGCGGCGCGACACGGCUCGGGCCCGCCAGUGCCCCAACGGGGCCCUAGUUUCUUUUUCCUCCCCUUUAAACUGGAAAAUGGCCCACUUCCCACUGGCGAAAACUCAUGAAAUUUGGCAGGACGACCGGGCCUGGUGAAAAAUUUGAUAUUCUGAAGUCGCCCAAACAAGAAAAUGCAAAAUGGCUCCAUAGCGCCCCCUAAGGUGAAAAUUCACACUAUUGACUGUCACGCCUGUACGCUUUGUCAAAAUGACACAAAAAUUGACACACACAUGUAUCUCAAUAAGAUCUACAAAAAAGUCAGUGCGGGCGUAUCUGUCAAAUGUACGGUUAAAGGGUUAUUUCGCAUUUUUUGCUGAUCCGCACACAUUGGAAUUUCGCUAACUCCUCCUAAGGCUUUCGUUCCACCAGCACCACAUUUGCUCAGGCCAAUCUACACCCCAUGGCCAUUAAAAGUUAUUCAAAUCAUGACGCUGCACCCCAGGUUUAGGUUCUAGGGGGCGCCAAAGAUAACCCUAAAAUCCACAUAUUUCAAAGUCUUAUAACUUUUUAUUUUUGCCCUCACUAGCCUCCAAUUUUUCUAGGAUGAUGCGAUGUCCAGCCAUCAACACAUUUGUGAAGGAAUUUUUACUCCCCAAAAGAGCGCCCCCCCAUGGCAGGAGAAAAAAGUCAAUUUUUUCUUGUCCCCUAAGGUGAAAAUACACAUUGUAGAGUGUCACGCCUGUACGCUUUGUCAAAAUGACACAAAAAUUGACACACACAUGUGUAUUUCAAUAAGAUCUUCGAAAAAGUCAAUGGCCACGUAUCUGUAAAAUGUACAGUUAAAGGGUUAUUUCGCAUUUUUUGCAGAUCCGCACACAUUGGAAUUUCGCUAACUCCUCCGAAGGCUUUCGUUCCACCGGCACCACAUUUGCUCAGGCCAAUCUACACUCCAUGGCCAUUCAAAGUUGUAAAAAUCAUGACGCUGCACCCCACGGUCUACGUUCUAGGGGGCGCCAAAGAGGACCCAAAUAUCCACAUUUUUAAAAGUCUUAUAACUUUUUAUUUUUGUCCUCACUGGCCUCCAAGUUUUCUAGGAUGAUGCAAUGUCCAGCCAUCAACACAUUUGUGAAGGAAUUUUUACUCCCCAAAAGAGCGCCCCCCCAUGGCAGGAGAAAAAAGUCCAUUUUUUCUUGUCCCCUAAGGUGAAAAUACACAUUGUUGAGUGUCAUGCCUGUACGCUUUGUCAAAAUGACACAAAAUUCGACACACAUGUGUAUCUCAAUAAGAUCUACGAAAAAGUAAAUGCAGGCGUAUCUGUCAGAUGUACGGUUAAAGGGCUAUUUCGCAUUUUUUGCCGAUUCGCACACAUUGGAAUGUAGCUAACUCCUCCUAAGGCUUUCGCUCCACCGGCACCAAAUUUGCUCAGGACAAUCUACACCCCAUGGCCAUUCAAAGUUGUAAAAAUCAUGACGCUGCACCCCACGGUUUAAGUUCUAGGGGGCGCCAAAGAUGACCCAAAUAUCCAUAUUCUUAAAAGUGUUAUAACAUUUUAUUUUUGUCCUCACUGGCCUCCAUGUUUUCUAGGAUGAUGCAAUGUCCAGCCAUCAACACAUUUGUGAAGGAGUUUUUUCUUGUUAAAAGAGCGCCCCACCAUGGCAGGAGAAUAAAGUCAAGUUUUUCCUGUUCAUCGUUCAAUGGCUCAAACGCAUCGCUCUCUCGGCAAAAGCGAAAGGAGGAGCAACUUGCCAUUUGGAUAUAUCUUAGCUGUGUUUGUGCCCUCACUCAUGGUCCAGACUUUUUUCAAAUAGGACAUGGAGUUUUUCUGCAGCGAGCGUUUUGGUAGAAACUGCGCCUCCCAUUCAUUAUAAUGGUAAAUGACCACAGACAAGUGCGCACACCAUCUUUGGACCUUGAGUGUGACGCGAUUGGGUGGGGGAGGCGGUCGCGCUGGGGGCGGCGCGACACGGCUCGGGCCCGCCAGUGCCCCACCGGGGCCCUAGUUAGGGCCCGAGCCAGCUGCAGAGCAGCCGGGCGUAGAGCCCUAUUAUUCCUGUAGUGGUUUUUCUUAGCGCCCCCUAAGGUGAAAAUUCACACUAUUGACUGUCACGCCUGUACGCUUUGUCAAAAUGACACAAAAAUUGACACACACAUGUAUCUCAAUAAGAUCUACAAAAAAGUCAGUGCGGGCGUAUCUGUCAAAUGUACAGUUAAAGGGUUAUUUCGCUUUUUUUGCCGAUCCGCACACAUUGGAAUUUCGCUAACUCCUCCGAAGGCUUUCGUUCCACCGGCACCACAUUUGCUCAGGCCAAUCUACACCCCAUGGCCAUUAAAAGUUAUUCAAAUCAUGACGCUGCACCCCACGGUUUAGGUUCUAGGGGGCGCCAAAGAUAACCCUAAGAUCCACAUAUUUAAAAGUCUUAUAACUUUUUAUUUUUGUCCCCACUGGCCUCCAAGUUUUCUAGGAUGAUGCAAUGUCCAGCCAUCAACACAUUUGUGAAGGAAUUUUUACUCCCCAAAAGAGCGCCCCACCAUGGCAGGAGAAAAAAGUCCAUUUUUUCUUGUCCCCUAAGGUGAAAAUACACAUUGUUGAGUGUAACACCUGUACGCUUUGGCAAAAUGACACCAAAAUUGACACACAUAUGUAUCUCAAUAAGAUCUACAAAAAAGUCAAUGCGCGCGUGUCUGUCAAAUGUACGGUUAAAGGGUUAUUCCGCAUUUUUUGCCGAUCCGCACACAUUGGAAUUUCGCUAACUCCUCCGAAGGCUUUCGUUCCACCGGCACCACAUUUGCUCAGGCCAAUCUACACCCCAUGGCCAUUAAAAGUUAUUCAAAUCAUGACGCUGCACCCCACGGUUUAGGUUCUAGGGGGCGCCAAAGAUAACCCUAAAAUCCACAUAUUUAAAAGUCUUAUAACUUUUUAUUUUUGUCCUCACUGGCCUCCAUGUUUUCUAGGAUGAUGCAAUGUCCAGCCAUCAACACAUUUGUGAAGGAGUUUUUUCUCGUUAAAAGAGCGCCCCCCCAUGGCAGGAGAAUAAAGUCAAGUUUUUCCUGUUCAUCAUUCAAUGGCUCAAACGCACUGCUCUCUCGGCAAAAGCGAAAGGAGGAGCAACUUGCCAUUUGGAUAUAUCUUAGCUGUGUUUGUGACCUCACUCAUGGUCCAGACUUUUUUCAAAUAGGACAUGGAGUUUUUCUGCAGCGAGCGUUUUGGUAGAAACUGCGCCUCCCGUUCAUUAUAAUGGUAAAUGACCACAAACAAGUGCGCACACCAUCUUUGAACCUUGAGUGUGACGCGAUCGGGUGGGGGAGGCGGUCGCGCUGGGGGCGGCAUGACACGGCUCGGGCCCGCCAGUGCCCCAACGGGGCCCUAGUUAGGGCCCGAGCGUAGCUGCUAAGCAGCUGCGAGAGCCCUAUUAUUCCCCAAGUGGUUUUUCUUUGUUUGUUUCUUUCUUUCUUUCUUUCUUUAGGGCCCGAGCGUAGCUGCUAAGCAGCUGCGAGAGCCCUAUUAUUCCCCAAGUGGUUUUUCUUUGUUUCUUUCUUUCUUUCUUCUUUUUCCUCCCCUUUGAACUGGAAAAUGGCCCACUUCCCAAUGGCGAAAACUCAUGAAAUUUGGCAGGACGACCGGGCCUGGUGAAAAAUUCGAUAUUCUGAAGUCGCCCAAACAAUAAAAUGCAAAAUGGCUCAAUAGCGCCCCCUAAGGUGGAAAUUCACACUAUUGACUGUCACGCCUGUACGCUUUGUCAUAUUGACACAAAAAUUGACACACAUAUGUAUCUCAAUAAGAUCUACAAAAAAGUCAGUGCGGCCGUAUCUGUCAAAAUUACGGUUAAAGGGUUAUUUGGCAUUUUUUGCCGAUCCGCACACAUUGGAAUUUCGCUAACUUCUCCGAAGGCUUUCGUUCCACCGGCACCACAUUUGCUCAGGCCAAUCUAAACCCCGUGGCCAUUAAAAGUUAUCAAAAUCAUGACGCUGCACCACAAGGUUUAGGUUCUAGGGGGCGCCAAAGAUAACACUAAAAUCCACAUAUUUAAAAGUCUUAUAACUUUUUAUUUUUGUCCUCACUGGCCUCCAAGUUUUCUAGGAUGAUGCAAUGUCCAGCCAUCAACACAUUUGUGAAGGAAUUUUUACUCCCCAAAAGAGCGCCCCCCCAUGGCAGGAGAAAAAAGUCCAUUUUUUCUUGUCCCCUAAGGUGAAAAUACACAUUGUUGAGUGUCACGCCUAUACGCUUUGUCAAAAUGACACAAAAAUUGACACACACGUAACUCAAUAAGAUCUACGAAAAAGUCAAUGCGCGCGUAUCUGUCAAAUGUACGGUUAAAGGGUUAUUCCGCAUUUUUUGCCGAUCCGCACACAUUGGAAUGUGGCUAACUCCUCCUAAGGCUUUCGUUCCACCGGCACCACAUUUGCUCAGGCCAAUCUACACCCCAUGGCCAUUAGAAGUUAUCAAAAUCAUGACGCUGCACCCCAAGGUUUAGGUUCUAGGGGGCGCCAAAGAUAACACUAAAAUCCACAUAUUUAAAAGUCUUAUAACUUUUUAUUUUUGUCCUCACUGGCCUCCAAGUUUUCUAGGAUGAUGCAAUGUCCAGCCAUCAACACAUCUGUGAAGGAAUUUUUACUCGCCAAAAGAGCGCCCCCCCCCCAUGGCAGGAGAAAAAAGUCCAUUUUUUCUUGUCCCCUAAGGUGAAAAUACACAUUGUUGAGUGUCACGCCUGUACGCUUUGGCAAAAUGACACAAAAAUUGACACACACAUGUAUCUCAAUAAGAUCUACAAAAAAGUCCACGCGCGCGUAUCUGUCAAAUGUACGGUUAAAGGGUUAUUCCGCAUUUUUUGCCGAUACGCACACAUUGGAAUUUCGCUAACUCCUCCGAAGGCUUUCGUUCCACCGGCACCACAUUUGCUCAGGCCAAUCUACACCCCAUGGCCAUUAAAAGUUAUUCAAAUCAUGAUGCUGCACCCCAUGGUUUAGGUUCUAGGGGGCGCCAAAAAUAACCCAAAAAUCCACAUUCUUAAAUGUUUUAUAACUUUUUUUUUUUGUCCUCACUGGCCUCCAAGUUUUCUAGGAUGAUGCAAUGUCCAGCCAUCAACACAUUUGUGAAGGAAUUUUUACUCCCCAAAAGAGCGCCCCCCCAUGGUAGGAGAAAAAAGUCAAUUUUUUCUUGUCCCCUUACAUGAAAAUACACAUUGUUGAGUGUCACGCCUGAACGCUAUGUCAUAUUGACACAAAAAUUGACAAUCAUGUGUAUCUCAAUUAGAUCUACGAAAAAGUCAAUGCGCGUAUCUGUAUAAUGUACGGUUAAAGGGCUAUUUUGCAUUUUUUGCCGAUUCGCACACAUUGGAAUGUGGCUAACUCCUCCUAAAUCUUUUGUCCCAUCGGCUUCAAAUUUGCUCAGGUCAAUCUACACCCCAUGGCCAUUCAAAGUUGUACAAAUCAUGACGCUGCACCCCACAGUUUACGUUCUAGGGGGCGCCAAAGAGGACCCAAAUAUCCACAUUUUUAAAAGUCUUAUAACUUUUUAUUUUUGUCCUCACUGGCCUCCAAGUUUUCUAGGAUGAUGCAAUGUCCAGCCAUCAACACAUUUGUGAAGGAAUUUUUUCUCCCCAAAAGAGCGCCCCCCCAUGGCAGGAGAAAAAGUCAAGUUUUUCCUGCCCAUCGCUCAAUGGCUCAAACGCAUCGCUCUCUCGGCAAAACCGAAAGGAGGAGCAACUUGCCAUUUGGAUAUAUACUAGCUGUGUUUGUGCCCUCACUCAUGGUCCAGACUUUUUUCAAAAAGGACAUGGAGUUUGUCUGCAGCGAGCGUUUUGGUAGAAACUGCGCCUCCCAUUCAUUAUAAUGGUAAAUGACCACAGACAAGUGCGCACACCAUCUUUGGACCUUGAGUGUGACGCGAUCGGGAGGGGUAGGCGGUCGCGCUGGGGGCGGCGCGACACGGCUCGGGCCCGCCAGUGCCCCAACGGGGCCCUAGUUCUUUCUUUCUUCUUUUUCCUCCCCUUUGAACUGGAAAAUGGCCCACUUCCCACUGGCGAAAACUCAUGAAAUUUGGCAGGACGACCGGGCCUGGUGAAAAAUUCGAUAUUCUGAAGUCGCCCAAACAAGAAAAUGCAAAAUGGCUCCAUAGCGCCCCCUAAGGUGGAAAUUCACACUAUUGACUGUCACGCCUGUACGCUUUGUCAUAUUGACACAAAAAUUGACACACAUAUGUAUCUCAAUAAGAUCUACAAAAAAGUCAGUGCGGCCGUAUCUGUCAAAAUUACGGUUAAAGGGUUAUUUCGCAUUUUUUUCCGAUCCGCACACAUUGGAAUUUCGCUAACUCCUCCGAAGGCUUUCGUUCCACCGGCACCACAUUUGCUCAGGCCAAUCUACACCCCGUGGCCAUUAAAAGUUAUUCAAAUCAUGACGCUGCACCCCAAGGUUUAGGUUCAAGGGGGCGCCAAAGAUAACACUAAAAUCCACAUAUUUAAAAGUCUUAUAACUUUUUAUUUUUGUCCUCACUGGCCUCCAAGUUUUCUAGGAUGAUGCAAUGUCCAGCCAUCAACACAUUUGUGAAGGAAUUUUUACUCCCCAAAAGAGCGCCCCCCAUGGCAGGAGAAAAAAGUCCAUUUUUUCUUGUCCCCUAAGGUGAAAAUACACAUUGUUGAGUGUAACACCUGUACGCUUUGGCAAAAUGACACAAAAAUUGACACACACAUGUAUCUCAAUAAGAUCUACGAAAAAGUCAAUGCGCGCGUAUCUGUCAAAUGUACGGUUAAAGGGUUAUUCCGCAUUUUUUGCCGAUCCGCACACAUUGGAAUUUCGCUAACUCCUCCGAAGGCUUUCGUUCCACCGGCACCACAUUUGCUCAGGCCAAUCUACACCCCAUGGCCAUUAAAAGUUAUUCAAAUCAUGACGCUGCACCCCACGGUUUAGGUUCUAGGGGGCGCCAAAGAUAACCGUAAAAUCCACAUAUUUAAAAGUCUUAUAACUUUUUAUUUUUGUCCCCACUGGCCUCCAAGUUUUCUAGGAUGAUGCAAUGUCCAGCCAUCAACACAUUUGUGAAGGAAUUUUUACUCGCCAAAAGAGCGCCCCCCCAUGGCAGGAGAAAAAAGUCCAUUUUUUCUUGUCCACUAAGGUGAAAAUACACAUUAUUGAGUGCUACGCCUGUAUGUUUUGUCGUAUUGACACAAAAUUUUACAUACACGUGUAUUUCAAUAAGAUCUUCGAAAAAGUCAAUGGCCACGUAUCUGUAAAAUGUACGGUUAAAGGGUUAUUUCGCAUUUUUUGCAGAUUCGCACACAUUGGAAUUUCGCUAAAUCCUCCGAAGGCUUUCGUUCCACCGGCACCACAUUUGCUCAGGCCAAUCUACACCCCAUGGCCAUUAAAAGUUAUUCAAAUCAUGACGCUGCACCCCACGGUUUAGGUUCUAGGGGGCGCCAAAGAUAACCCUAAAAUCCACAUAUUUAAAAGUCUUAUAACUUUUUAUUUUUGUCCUCACUGGCCUCCAUGUUUUCUAGGAUGAUGCAAUGUCCAGCCAUCAACACAUUUGUGAAGGAGUUUUUUCUCGUUAAAAGAGCACCCCCCCAUGGCAGGAGAAUAAAAUCAAGUUUUUCCUGUUCAUCAUUCAAUGGCUCAAACGCACUGCUCCCUCGGCAAAAGCGAAAGGAGGAGCAACUUGCCAUUUGGAUAUAUCUUAGCUCUGUUUGUGCCCUCACUCAUGGUCCAGACUUUUUUCAAAUAGGACAUGGAGUUUUUCUGCAGCGAGCGUUUUGGUAGUAACUGCGCCUCCCAUUCAUUAUAAUGGUAAAUGACCACAAACAAGUGCGCACACCAUCUUUGGACCUUGAGUGUGACGCGAUCGGGUGGGGGAGGCGGUCGCGCUGAGGGCGGCGUGACAUGGCUCGGGCCCGCCAGUGCCCCAACGGGGCCCUAGUUAUUUUUGUCCCCACUGGCCUCCAAGUUUUCUAGGAUGAUGCAAUGUCCAGCCAUCAACACAUUUGUGAAGGAAUUUUUACUCCCCAAAAGAGCGCCCCACCAUGGCAGGAGAAAAAAGUCCAUUUUUUCUUGUCCCCUAAGGUGAAAAUACACAUUGUUGAGUGUAACACCUGUACGCUUUGGCAAAAUGACACCAAAAUUGACACACACAUGUAUCUCAAUAAGAUCUACAAAAAAGUCAAUGCGCGCGUAUCUGUCAAAUGUACGGUUAAAGGGUUAUUCCGCAUUUUUUGCCGAUCCGCACACAUUGGAAUUUCGCUAACUCCUCCGAAGGCUUUCGUUCCACCGGCACCACAUUUGCUCAGGCCAAUCUACACCCCAUGGCCAUUAAAAGUUAUUCAAAUCAUGACGCUGCACCCCACGGUUUAGGUUCUAGGGGGCGCCAAAGAUAACCCUAAAAUCCACAUAUUUAAAAGUCUUAUAACUUUUUAUUUUUGUCCUCACUGGCCUCCAUGUUUUCUAGGAUGAUGCAAUGUCCAGCCAUCAACACAUUUGUGAAGGAGUUUUUUCUCGUUAAAAGAGCGCCCCCCCAUGGCAGGAGAAUAAAGUCAAGUUUUUCCUGUUCAUCAUUCAAUGGCUCAAACGCACUGCUCUCUCGGCAAAAGCGAAAGGAGGAGCAACUUGCCAUUUGGAUAUAUCUUAGCUGUGUUUGUGACCUCACUCAUGGUCCAGACUUUUUUCAAAUAGGACAUGGAGUUUUUCUGCAGCGAGCGUUUUGGUAGAAACUGCGCCUCCCGUUCAUUAUAAUGGUAAAUGACCACAAACAAGUGCGCACACCAUCUUUGAACCUUGAGUGUGACGCGAUCGGGUGGGGGAGGCGGUCGCGCUGGGGGCGGCGUGACACGGCUCGGGCCCGCCAGUGCCCCAACGGGGCCCUAGUUAGGGCCCGAGCGUAGCUGCUAAGCAGCUGCGAGAGCCCUAUUAUUCCCCAAGUGGUUUUUUAGGGCCCGAGCCAGCUGCAGAGCAGCCGGGCGUAGGCCCUAUUAUUCCCCAAGUGGUUUUUAGGGCCCGAGCCAGCUGCAGAGCAGCCGGGCGUAGGCCCUAUUAUUCCCCAAGUGGUUUUUCUUUGUUUCUUUCUUUCUUUCUUUCUUUCUUCUUUUUCCUCCCCUUUGAACUGGAAAAUGGCCCACUUCCCACUGGCGAAAACUCAUGAAAUUUGGCAGGACGACCGGGCCUGGUGAAAAAUUCGAUAUUCUGAAGUCGCCCAAACAAUAAAAUGCAAAAUGGCUCCAUAGCGCCCCCUAAGGUGGAAAUUCACACUAUUGACUGUCACGCCUGUACGCUUUGUCAUAUUGACACAAAAAUUGACACACAUAUGUAUCUCAAUAAGAUCUACAAAAAAGUCAGUGCGGCCGUAUCUGUCAAAAUUACGGUUAAAGGGUUAUUUCGCAUUUUUUGCCGAUCCGCACACAUUGGAAUUUCGCUAACUCCUCCGAAGGCUUUCGUUCCACCGGCACCACAUUUGCUCAGGCCAAUCUACACCCCGUGGCCAUUAAAAGUUAUCAAAAUCAUGACGCUGCACCCCAAGGUUUAGGUUCUAGGGGGCGCCAAAGAUAACACUAAAAUCCACAUAUUUAAAAGUCUUAUAACUUUUUAUUUUUGUCCUCACUGGCCUCCAAGUUUUCUAGGAUGAUGCAAUGUCCAGCCAUCAACACAUUUGUGAAGGAAUUUUUACUCCCCAAAAGAGCGCCCCCCCCAUGGCAGGAGAAAAAAGUCCAUUUUUUCUUGUCCCCUAAGGUGAAAAUACACAUUGUUGAGUGUCACGCCUAUACGCUUUGUCAAAAUGACACAAAAAUUGACACACACAUGUAACUCAAUAAGAUCUACGAAAAAGUCAAUGCGCGCGUAUCUGUCAAAUGUACGGUUAAAGGGUUAUUCCGCAUUUUUUGCCGAUCCGCACACAUUGGAAUUUCGCUAACUCCUCCGAAGGCUUUCUGUCCACCGGCACCACAUUUGCUCAGGCCAAUCUACACCCCAUGGCCAUUAAAAGUUAUUCAAAUCAUGACGCUGCACCCCACGGUUUAGGUUCUAGGGGGCGCCAAAGACAACCCUAAAAUCCACAUAUUUAAAAGUCUUAUAACUUUUUAUUUUUGUCCUCACUGGCCUCCAAGUUUUCUAGGAUGAUGCAAUGUCCAGCCAUCAACACAUUUGUGAAGGAAUUUUUACUCCCCAAAAGAGCGCCCCCCAUGGCAGGAGAAAAAAGUCCAUUUUUUCUUGUCCCCUAAGGUGAAAAUACAUAUUGUUGAGAUUCACGCCUAUACGCUUUGUCAUAUUGACACAAAAUUUGACAAUCACGUGCCUUGCCUGGUAUCAUUUUUUUUCAGCACAACCUCACCUGUGCGAAUUUACAGUUAUUUUAUCAUGUUGACAUACUGAAUUUACACAAUGGACCCAAAUUCACACACAAAACAUAAAAUCCGAGUGGAAAAAAGUAACAUUUUUACUGUGAAAACCACAAAUAUGUGUGAUGAACUGUUUUUAAAACUUAAACUUCAAAUAAAAAUUGUAAACUUCAAAACAUAUGCAAAUUUUUAACAAAGAACAUAGUGAUUUACCUCUAUUUACAUCAAAAUGCAGGCAAUGGCCCAGGCGUUCUUUGUAAAAUUAUUUACAAAACACUGUAUAGUCUCACAAAUGUCACUUUUUAUUUAUGCCACUACAAAAAAACAUGAUGUAAAUGAUGCAUGAUGUAAAACAUGAUGUAAAAAACUUGUGUAGAUCCUCCUCUAUGUCAGUCCAUGUGUAAUUUUUCCAUAAUUCUUUGUUUUUUGCAGCAUUUUUGUUAGUGUAACUGCAGAUUGUGCUGACAGUGUCUAUGGCACAAAAAAAAAAAUAAUUAAAAUGCCUCAACAUGAACCCCUGGUGGUCUCUGAGGGUGAAACCUGCUAACUGCUGCAGCUCUGUCAGCUUCAGUCUCCCAUGCAGAGCUCUGAGCGCAUGUGUGGCUCUGCACCCUUAGCAGCGUUGCUAACUCCUCAGUAAGGAAAGCCUGCUUCAUGUCAGAGUCUCUAAACUCCAGAAGAAGUCGAUAAAAGUCCCUUUCUUUCUAAAAAAAAGUCGUUAGGGGGUCUGAAAAGUCAUUGAAUCUAACAACAAAGUCGUUAGGUUUGCAACUACGUGUCCCAGACUGCAUCCCUGCUGAGAGUCCCUCCCUCCCUUCUCAUGUUGCAGGAAGAACGUAAGCGAAUGAUAUCGACAGUGAUAUCGAAUAGGCUAGGCACUCACGAGGCUGGCUGUGGCAAGUGUAAGUGAAAGCAACACGCACUGGCAGGAAGAACAGCAAACGCCGAUGAAGGAAAAGGGUCUUUGCAGUGAUGGGCGUUACCAGAGAGGGCGAUGGCCAGAGGACACAAAUGGGACGGGGAGGCAGCACGUUGGGGGGGGGGCGACACGGC